rnacentral:misc_RNA from 1 species
UCCUCCUUACAGAGGCAGUUUGUCUCGAGUUCCCGACAUGGUAAACCAUUCGCUGGCAACAAGACAUGAGGGUUGCGCUCGUUGCGGGACUUAACCCAACAUUUCACAACACGAGCUGACGACAGCCAUGCACCACCUGUGUAGCACCCUCGCAGGCGACUCGCUUUCACAAGCUUGCAGCUACAUGUCAAGCCCUGGUAAGGUUCUUCGCGUUGCAUCGAAUUAAGCCACAUGCUCCACCGCUUGUGCGGGCCCCCGCCAAUUCCUUUGAGUUUCAACCUUGCGGCCGUAGUCCCCAGGCGGAUCACUUAAUGCGUUAGCUGCGGCACUGAGGUAUCAACCCCAACACCUAGUGAUCAUAGUUUAGGGCCAAGACUAC